CCUACGGGAGGCAGCAGUGGGGAAUCUUGCGCAAUGGGCGAAAGCCUGACGCAGCAACGCCGCGUGCGGGAUGAAGGCCUUCGGGUUGUAAACCGCUUUUAACAGGAACGAAAAUGACGGUACCUGUAGAAUAAGGUGCGGCCAACUACGUGCCAGCAGCCGCGGUGACACGUAGGCACCAAGCGUUGUCCGGAUUUAUUGGGCGUAAAGAGCUCGUAGGCGGUUCGAUAAGUCGGGUGUGAAAACUCUGGGCUUAACCCAGAGACGCCACUCGAUACUAUUGUGACUAGAGUUCGGUAGGGGAGCGGGGAAUUCCUAGUGUAGCGGUGAAAUGCGCAGAUAUUAGGAGGAACACCGGUGGCGAAGGCGCCGCUCUGGGCCGAAACUGACGCUGAGGAGCGAAAGCGUGGGUAGCAAACAGGAUUAGAUACCCUGGUAGUCCACGCCGUAAACGGUGGGCACUAGGUGUGGGCUCCAACCAACGGAGUCCGCGCCGUCGCUAACGCAUUAAGUGCCCCGCCUGGGGAGUACGGCCGCAAGGUUAAAACCUUAAAGGAAUUGACGG
rnacentral:rRNA from 1 species